rnacentral:rRNA from 1 species
CGAGCGGAAGAAUGGACUUGCUCCCGGAUGUUAGCGGCUGACGGGUGAUUAACACGUGGGUAACCUGCCUGUAAGACUGGGAUAACUCCGGGAAACCGGAGCUAAUACCGGAUAGUUCCUUGAACCGCAUGGUUCAAGGAUGAAAGACGGUUUCGGCUGUCACUUACAGAUGGACCCGCGGCGCAUCUAUCUAUGUUGGUGAGGUAACGGCUCACCAAGGUUCGAGUGCUGUAUCCGACCUGAGAGGGUGAUCGGCCACCUGGGACUGAGACACGCCCAAACUCCUACUGGAGCAGCAGUAGGAAUCUUCCGCAUGGACAAAGGUCUGACGGAGCACGCCGCGUGAGUGAUGAAGGUUUUCUGCAUCAUAAAGCUCUGUUGUUAGGGAAAAACAAGCGCAAGAGUAACUGCUUGCAUCCUUGACGGUACCUAACCAGAAAGCCACGGCUAACUACGUGCCAGUCAGCCGCGGUAAGUACGUAGCGUGGCAAGCGUUGUCCAGGAAUUAUUGGGCGUAAAGGGCUCGCAGGCGGUUUCUUAUUCUGAUGUGAAAGCCCCCGGCUCAACCGGGGAGGGUCAUUGGAAACUGGGAAACUUGAGUGCAGAAGAGGAGAGUGGAAUUCCACGUGUAGCGGUGAAAUGCGUAGAGAUGUGGAGGAACACCAGUGCGAAGGCGACUCUCUGUCUGUAACUGACGCUGAGGACGAAAGCGUGGGAGCGAACAGAUUAGAUACCUGGUAGUCCACGCCGUCAAACGCAUGAGUGCUAAACGUGUUAGGGGGUUUCCGCCUCCUUAGUGCUGCAGCAUAACGCAUAAUGCACUCCGACCUGGGGAGUACUGAGUCGCAAGACUGAUAACUCAAAGGAAUGACGGGCGCCCGCACAAGCGGUGAGCAUGUGGUUUAAUUGAAGCAACGCGAAGAACCUUUACCAGGUCUUGACAUCCUCUGACAACCCUAGAGAUAGGGCUUUCCCUUCGGGGACAGUGUGACAGGUGUGCAUGCRUUGUCGUCAGCUCGUGUCGUGAGAUGUUGGGUUAAGAUCCCGCAACGAGCGCAACCCGUUGAUCUUAGUGCCAGCAUUCAGUUGGGCACUAUAAGGUGAACUGCCGGUGACACAACCGGAGGAAGGUGGGGAUGUACGUCAAAUCAUGCAUGCCCCUUAUCGCACUCUGAGGCUAACCACACGGUGCUACAAUGGACAGAACAAAGGGCUGCGAGACCGCAAGGUUUAGCCAAUCCCACAAAUCUGUUCUCAGUUCGGAUCGCAGUCUGCAACUCGACUGCGUGAAGCUGGAAUCGCUAGUAAUCGCGGAUCAGCAUGCCGCGGUGAAUACGUUCCCGGGCCUUGUACACACCGCCCGUCACACCACGAGAGUUUGCAACACCCGAAGUCGGUGAGGUAACCUUUAUGAGCCAGCCGC